UUCCGUAGGUGAACCUGCGGAGGGAUCAUUACACAAAUAUGAAGGCGGGCUGGAACCUCUCGGGGUUACAGCCUUGCUGAAUUAUUCACCCCUGUCUUUUGCGUACUUCUUGUUUCCUUGGUGGGUUCGCCCACCACUAGGACAAACAUAAACCUUUUGUAAUUGCAAUCAGCGUCAGUAACAAAUUAAUAAUUACAACUUUCAACAACGGAUCUCUUGGUUCUGGCAUCGAUGAAGAACGCAGCGAAAUGCGAUAAGUAGUGUGAAUUGCAGAAUUCAGUGAAUCAUCGAAUCUUUGAACGCACAUUGCGCCCUUUGGUAUUCCAAAGGGCAUGCCUGUUCGAGCGUCAUUUGUACCCUCAAGCUUUGCUUGGUGUUGGGCGUCUUGUCUCUAGCUUUGCUGGAGACUCGCCUUAAAGUAAUUGGCAGCCGGCCUACUGGUUUCGGAGCGCAGCACAAGUCGCACUCUCUAUCAGCAAAGGUCUAGCAUCCAUUAAGCCUUUUUUCAACUUUUGACCUCGGAUCAGGUAGGGAUACCCGCUGAACUUAAGCAUAUCAAUAAGCGGAGGA
rnacentral:rRNA from 1 species